AUCUACAUUUCUUUAUUAUUGAGGACAUGAUUAAUUGUCAUGGAAUAGCAUAUAUCUGCCGAACUUGAAGUGGUUUGUUUGUCUUGAUCAAUGGCAUUACUAUUAAAGUCGGGUGGUUGGACAGCAUGGUCAUUAAUUCCUAAUAUUGAGUUGAAUUCAAAUUCUGCAUAAAUUUCUCCAUGCCGUCUUGAUGACCAGUCUGAUGAGAAGCAGUUAUUUGAUUUACAAAAUUCGCAGUAGUGUAGCCUUGAGAAAUGCCUUUUGAUCUUGGUUUGUAUCCUAAUGGAUAGCCAUGGACCUUGUGGCACUUAUCAACCGAGUGUCCAUGAUACUUGCAAUGAGUACAGAAAGGCCUUUCAUUCUUUCUGACAUUUUCAGUGCGACUGAUUCUAGAGCAAUCUGUGCGAAGACCAGAAUUAAUUGUUGGUCUGACAUUAUCAGAUUUCAUUGUGAAGGUAGCAGCUCCGUUUGCAUCAUUUCCAAAUGAUUGGAUACUCAAGUCUUUUCCGAUUUUCUUCUUGUGAAAUUAGAGCAAAAACCUUGUUAAUUGGUGGCAUAGGAUCCAUGAGUAGGUCUGACCCCUAGCUUGGGGAAAUGACUCAUUCAAUCCCAUAAGGAAUGACAUGAUAUAGUCCAUUUGAUAGUAUUCAUUUAUCUUCUUAACACCACCACAUGAACAUUUUCUACAGUUGCAGUUAGGUCUAAAAUGGCUCAACUCUUCCCAUAUGGUUUUCAGCCUUAUGAAAUACACACUUACAUUGUUACGAUCCUGAGUCAAAUUCAUUGGGUCCUUCCUCAGCUGAUAAAUUCGUGGUCCAUUGUGUUGUUGGAACCUCUCUUUAAGAUCAUUCCAGAUUUGGUAAGCUGUAGAUGCAUAAAUGACACCGGCUGAAAUUUCCUUCGAGACGGAGUUAAGUAUCCACAACAUAACCACAUUAUUGUUUUGGAUCCAGAAAUUGAUCAAGUCAAGGCUUGCAUCAUCUGGUUUCUUCAUGGAUCCAUCAAUGAACAAGAGUUUAUUCUUCAUCGAAAGGACAAUUGACAUUGCAAGACUCUAGGAGGCAUAGUUUUCUCCUGUGAGUG
rnacentral:lncRNA from 1 species